rnacentral:piRNA from 1 species
AGACUUGGAACCAGUAGUUAAGCAG